GCCGGAAUAGCUCAGUCGGUAGAGCAGA
rnacentral:tRNA from 3 species